CUGAAUACAUCUGGUCAGAUUUGCUCGUUGGUCGCCUGUCGGGUGAUUGAGAACAUCCAAUGUAUCAAAAAAAUAGACGUCAACUGUCAAUGGUGUAACCUUCUUUCGUCAUUUCCGGUAGGAUUAUCAUUAUCUCCAAGAUAAUUCACAAACACAGCCAAAGAGAACACUAAGGUGCAUGGACUGCAUUGAGCCUAUAACAUAUCGCUAUGGAUUACAUUAGAAGAAUAACAUCAAAAAGCCAUACAGAAAAGAAAAGUUUACCAGUGAAGCAGAAAUUUUCCCAUGGAGUUGGGCACAUUUUGAACGACCUAGCCGCAAGUGUCUGGUUCAGCUAUCUUAUUAUUUAUCUGACCAAAGUAGCUGGGCUGUCUAAUAGGCAUACUGGACUGGUCGUUCUACUGGGACAGAUUGCUGAUGCUGUGUUUACGCCAUUUAUAGGUAUCCUCUGUGAUAGAACAGUGUGUCGUUAUGGACGACGAAAAAUUUGGCAUUUAAUUGGUAGUGUCUUGACUAGCUUGUCGUUUCCAAUGCUCUUCAUUCAAAUGCUUCCUGAAGGGUCGUCGUCGAAUUUGAAAGUCGGUUAUUAUGUUGCUAUUGCUGCCGUAUUUCAAUUUGGAUGGGGAUGUGUGCAGAUAAGUCAUCUUUCUCUAAUUCCUGAAAUUUGCCACAGAAAUAAUGAAAGAGUGGAACUGAACGCUAUCAGAUCUGCGCUCACUUUUAUCUGCGGCAUUUAUGUUUAUGGCGUGACAUGGAUUCUACUGGGAGAAAGCAAAGAUAGUGUUCUAUCACCAAGUGUGUGGAAGCAGUUUAUGUACCUGGCAUUCAUAAUCGUUGCAACAGGAAAUCUAUUUAAUGUCCUCUUUCACGCGAUAACAAAGGAGCCUCAGUCCGAAGCUCUCGUCAGAUGGUUAGCGAAGAGACACUUGAAGAGAACAAAAGCUGUUGCAAGUAGCUGUAAUGGUAAAAAAGCUUGUAGUGAAGUCGGGUACCAAGCAGCAGGCUCACCAAACCGACGUAGUGGCGCCACUCCUUCCAUUUUAGUCUCAAUAUAUGAUGACAAAAAAUACAAGCAUUCCAAGAAUAAUAAUAACGGCGAAUUGUACACUUCGCACAGUAGUAGCAACAUAAACGAGGAUACUCCGUUGAUGGAGGAUCAUGGACUUGAAGAUAAUAAAGAACUUGAAAUUAUCGAUAGAAGUAAGGAACACCAAGUACAACAAGUACAACAAGUAAGGACGAAGAAACAAUGGAUGACAGAUCCUACGCUCUAUAAGGUUGCACUGAUUUACAUGUGCACUCGUAUAGUUGUAAAUGUCUCACAGUCUUAUUUACCGAUCUACCUUACCGAGACUAUGAAGUUUAACAAGGAGGCAAUUGCGUAUUUCCCCCUCGUCGUACUUAUCAGUGGAGUUCUUGCAAGUAUUGGAGUCAAACCUUUAACUAAAAGACUAGGAAGCAAGAUCACCUACUGUAUUGGAUCCUUGAUGGCCUUGGGAGCAUGUUUCUGGUACUUUCUCCAGUCCAUUGAAGGACGUAAUGCUAUUUAUGCCACUACUGUCCUAAUGGGUGUCGGUGGUUCAGUGAUGCUUGUCACGGCUUUGUCGUUGAUCUCGGAACUCAUUGGACACGAUAAGAAAUCAGGCGCCUUUGUAUACGGGGCGAUAAGUUUUACAGACAAACUGUCAAGUGGAGCUGUUAUAGCUAUUAUACAAGAACUCAACCCAAGAAAACAACAAACAGAUAAGUGUGCUUCCUGUGAUGAUUAUGUGCGUAACAUACAGAGUCUUGCUCCAGGGAUCGCCGCAACAGUCGCCCUAAUCAUAGCUAUUGUCUUUUUUGAUUCUAUCUUUGUGUGUCAUAGAAGAGUUGAAAAACGUGACAUAGGAGUACAAGCAGAGAUUGAAGUAGAGAUUAAAGAAGACAAAAAACAAGACGACGAUAUGAUCUGUGAUAACAUUCCACGAGUCAAACAUCACACUACUACACCAAGACUAACGGAUAUUCCAGUAGAAAAACAAAAUAUUAAUUCGAGACAAACUAACCAUUCUAGUGCAUCUUUAACACCAAACAAUACUCUACACGAACCAAACCAUGAUGUUUGGCAGAAGCAAUCUGAUUCAUUUGAAGCAAGAAACUUUAUGAAUGAUACAGCACCAAAUAAUGAAUACACAGCUUUUAGAUUAGCGUCUGGGUGUUUACCAUCACCUUUGUUGGAAAGAAGAACAGUUGUAUGAUGACAUGUGAUGCUAGAUAUUAGACGACAGUGAUGAUGACGAUAACAAGUUUACAAUCUUUUUUGAUGGAAAAAUUGAUAAUGUUAUAAUGACAUAUGCUAGGUAUUACACGACAAUGAUGAUGAUGGCGAUGAUGAUGAUGAAGAUAACAAAAUGUUUAUCUCAACUCUAAACCAAAUGUCUGGAUGUUUACCAUCACCGUUGUUGGAACUAUGAAGAACAAUAGGAUGAUGAUAUUUGCUAGGUAUUAGACAUCAAUGAUUAUGAAGAUAACGUGAUGUUUAUCUCAACUCCAAACUAAUGUCCGCUGAACGUUUGCCAUCGUUGGAAAGAAUAUCAAUAGUAUGAUGGAGCCUUUGGUGAUCUGACAGAGUGAAUAAUCUGCCUUCAUAUUGAAGUAAAAACUCAAGUGAGAUAACCGCUGGCUUGUGGAAACAGUGGGAUUAUAAAUUGUCUUAACCGCAUCGUAUGAUUGUAAUCAUCAACAUCAUACGAAUAUCCAAACAUUUACUUUUAAGCCCGGCACGGUGAACGUAUCUAUUUGGAAAAAACCUUUAGCUGCAAAGGAUUU
rnacentral:misc_RNA from 1 species